AUUAUCUUACUCUAUUGCAAUGAGGCAUGUUUAAUAACCUGUUCGAGCAACCAGUGAAGGGCAAGCCUGGUGCCAGCAGCCGCGGUAAUUCCAGCUUCACGAGUGUAUAUGUAAGUUGUUGCAGUUAAAAAGCUCGUAGUUGAACUUCUUUUUGUUCAGAAGGCGUGCAAGCGCAAUCUGGGCGAAAAUCCGCCUGAAAAAUCAUUCGGGUCUUCACUGAUUCAGUGAUGGAUCAGGCAUUUUACUUUGAAAAAAUUAGAGUGUUCAAAGCAGGCUCACGCCUGAAUACAUUAGCAUGGAAUAAUAGAAUAGGACGCUGUUCAAUUUGUUGGUUAUUGAAUUGCGUAAUGAUUAAUAGGGACAGUUGGGGGCAUUUGUAUUUAAUUGUCAGAGGUGAAAUUCUUGGAUUUAUUAAAGACAAACUUAUGCGAAAGCAUUUGCCAAGGAUGUUUUCAUUAAUCAAGAACGAAAGUUAGAGGAUCAAAGACGAUCAGAUACCGUCCUAGUUUUAACUAUAAACUAUGCCGACUCGGUCUCAGUCAAGUCUUCCUAACUUGAUUGGUGCCGUAUGAGAAAUCAAAGUCUUUGGGUUCCGGGGGGAGUAUGGUCGCAAGGUUGAAACUUAAAGGAAUAGACGGAACAUCACUACCAGGUGUGGAUCCUGCGGCUUAAUUUGACGCAACACGGGGAAACUUACCAGCGCAAAACAAGGGUGGGAUUGACAGAUUGAGAGCUCUUUCUUGAUUCUUUGGAUAGUGGUGCAUGGCCGUUCUUAGUUGGUGGAGUGAUUUGUCUGCUUAAUUGCGUUAACGAACGAGACCUCAACCUACUUACUAGACGCGUGAUUAAUUCAUCGCGUGUUCUUCUUAGAGGGACUGUGCGGAGACAAACGCAAGGAAGUUUGAGGCAAUAACAGGUCUGUGAUGCCCUUAGAUGUGCUGGGCCGCACGCGGGAUACAAUGACCCGUUCAGAAAGUAUAACCUGACCCGGAAGGGAGUGGGUAAUCUUUUUAAUGCGGGUCGUGCUAGGGAUCGAUCUUUGCAAUUAUAGAUCUUGAACGAGGAAUACCUAGUAAGUGCAAGUCAUCAGCUUGUACUGAUUACGUCCCUGGUGUUUGUACUCACCGCCCGUCGCUCCUACCAAUUUCGAAUGAUCCGGUGAACCUUUUGGAUUGGGUGCAAGCCUAAGAAGUUAAGUAAACCUUAUCAUUUAGAGGAAGGAGAAGUC
rnacentral:rRNA from 1 species